rnacentral:rRNA from 1 species
AGAUUGAACGCUGGCGGCAGGCCUAACACAUGCAAGUCGAGCGGUAGAGAGGUGCUUGCACCUCUUGAGAGCGGCGGACGGGUGAGUAAUGCCUAGGAAUCUGCCUAGUGGUGGGGGAUAACGUUCGGAAACGGACGCUAAUACCGCAUACGUCCCACGGGAGAAAGCGGGGGACCUUCGGGCCUCGCGCCAUUAGAUGAGCCUAGGUCGGAUUAGCUUAGUUGGUGAGGUAAGUGGCUCACCAAGGCGACGAUCCGUAACUGGUCUGAGAGGAUGAUCAGUCACACUGGAACUG